rnacentral:rRNA from 1 species
UCUCUCUGAAUCUGCGAACGGCUCCGCAAACCAGUUGUAAACUAUAGCAAGCAUGCUCGGGAUUUGGCCCUCGCGGGUUGGGUUUCGGGUGAUAAGGAUAACCCUGGUAAUUCUGAGGCUAAUACUAGAACGCAAAAACUUGCUGACCGGUUUUACUGGGAGGUUGGGGGCGUGCAAGUGGGUUUCGAGGAUAACCGGGAAGGGGUGCACGUUUGGACCGCGAUAAAGACAGACUGUUCGGCCGGCCUGAGCGGCACUUGCGUUGUGCUUCUGACCUAUCAACUAGAUGGCAGCGUAACGGACAUGCUAUGGUUGCAACGGGUACAGAGGAUUAGGGUUCGAUCCUGGAGAGUGGGCCUGAGAGAUU